UCUUUCUCCCGUAAGACUGUGAUAUAAAUGUAGUUUUGAUGGAUGGAAACCAUUAUGAAAACGACUUGAUUAUGACCGCGCUAAAUUUGAGAAUUUAAGCGAGCAAUGUUUUUGAAAUAUUUGUUACUUCACUUCAAAUUUUGAAUAUCGGAGCAAAAUUUUCUGCCUAAGUUAAAGAUAUACAGAUAUAUAGAGUUGUAGUGAUGGUGAAUGGCACCGAAAAGAAAGCGAGAAGUCCCAAAGAAGGUUGGCAGGCAGAAUCAAAGUAAUUAAACUGCACAUUUUGCCCUAUUACGGUAUUAAAUACAUCCAUGUCGAUUGAUGAGCAAGAAAAUAAAUUGAACGAUUAUAUAGCAGAUUUUCUACUCAAAGUAAAGAGCAGGCGUGAAUGAAUAUCAAAAUGCAUUCAAAAAGCCAAAGCACAGACUGCAAAUGCUUAUAAGAGUCCAAGCAUUGAAGUUGUUAAGGACAAGUCUUUCAUUACCUAAGCACAACCAGAGGUGUCUAAACUAGAUCCCAUCCUUCAAGAUCAUUGGCAUAUCCAGGUGACAGCGUACAUAACAGAGCUUCAAGCAUCAGGAUCAGUGACUGACAACAUGUCUGUUAAGUCAAGUUUAGAAUGAACUGUUAUAAUUUGUGUUUGUCAACAACCAUAUGUGAUGUUUUGUCUUCAAGAGUGGCGGACGCUGAAGGAGGGAGAAAGUCACUAUCUUACAUUGCCUUUGUCAAAUCUCUCUUGUAAAAUCAAUAGCUCAGUUAUCACACAGGAAAGACACCAUAGCAAACAGCUAUCUCCAAAUUUUGAAAUAUGAGCCAACAAAACUUCUACUACAAUCUGUGUCGUUAUUUCGCUAUGAAACUUUACAAAAACUUCGCUCGUGAAUUGUUCGUGUUAAAAGUAUGAGAGCUCCAAAACCUGGGGAGAGAGUGAUACCCAUGACUGGAUCACCGCUGACCAAUGAUGUUGCGCCCUUGGACAACAAUGCUCCGAAGGUCAUCAUACUAUUAACAGGUGGAAAGAUGAUGCAAAAGGCCAAGUUCUACUCUGGUUAUGUCAGUUUUAAAAGCACUUCAACAACCUGCUCCAGUGGAUGUUUCAAGUCCAAAGAAAAUUGACGUAGAUAAGAAGAAAGAAGCAUGUGUUAGUACGACAAAUACACGACGUACUUUAAAAGUUAUUGAACAUGGGAAAACACGUAUGUUGUUUCAUUUUAUGUAAUACACAUGUGUUUGCUUUUAA